CCGCAGCCAAUUAAGCCGACUGAGUUCCUUUCUUCAUGGGGACCCAGUGUGCAAUGGCUGCACACAGCAGCUUCCUUGGUAGUGUACGCAGCCUGUUGGUUGUAUGGGUUGCUCUAAGGGACCUUGGAGACAGGC
ensembl:snoRNA SNORA70 Small nucleolar RNA SNORA70